AUUGAACGCUGGCGGCAGGCCUAACACAUGCAAGUCGGACGGUAGCACAGGGGAGCUUGCUCCCCGGGUGACGAGUGGCGGACGGGUGAGUAAUGUCUGGGAAACUGCCUGAUGGAGGGGGAUAACUACUGGAAACGGUAGCUAAUACCGCAUAACGUCGCAAGACCAAAGAGGGGGACCUUCGGGCCUCUUGCCAUCAGAUGUGCCCAGAUGGGAUUAGCUAGUAGGUAGGGUAACGGCUCACCUAGGCGACGAUCCCUAGCUGGUCUGAGAGGAUGACCAGCCACACUGGAACUGAGACACGGUCCAGACUCCUACGGGAGGCAGCAGUGGGGAAUAUUGCACAAUGGGCGCAAGCCUGAUGCAGCCAUGCCGCGUGUAUGAAGAAGGCCUUCGGGUUGUAAAGUACUUUCAGCGGGGAGGAAGGUGUUGUGGUUAAUAACCACAGCAAUUGACGUUACCCGCAGAAGAAGCACCGGCUAACUCCGUGCCAGCCGCCGCGGUAA
rnacentral:rRNA from 1 species